rnacentral:lncRNA from 1 species
UCGACCAUUUAACCUAGCUAAAUUGACCAUAUGCAUAGCUCCUACGUCAUCAGACAACACUUCUAGCUUACCAUCUAAUACAAGACCACAUCCAACAGAAUACCAUAAAUCCUGAAAUCUUACACAUCCAAGCGCUUUUAAUACACUCACCACAACAUAGUAACUCCAGUGGUUAGGGUCAAAAUACAUAGUAUCACACUCCCCUUCAUACUUCAGGCACCCUUCGUUUACCAACUUCCCCCCAUGGUGAAUAACAACUUCUAUAUCACCCUCCAUCACACACAACAUGUAAUAACCUAUAAAUUAAAAGUUUAAUUUUUAAGAAUAUUAAAGUAAUAAGAGUAAGUUUUAGAAAAUUAAAACACCUUAGCUGCAACAAAAGACACUUUCAGAACGUGACUGUGNCAUUUCCUCCAAAACAGCUAUCUCACUAACCUUGCUUUUCUAAAACCUCUGUUCUUCUCUCUAGAUUCUACCCCCAUUGAGCCACUGGAUUUCCAUUCCGCAGAAGCCUAGGCGAUCUUGGCAUCAUAGGCUCCGACUUUCACCGAUUACAUUUUGAUUUCAUAGGGUAAGCAACUUUCCCCUUUUUGAACUUUGAUCAUGUAGCAAAUUCUGCUGCAUGUAAUGCAUUUGUAAUUUUUCCCCAAAAUCUUAACCCUAAUUUUAUUCUAGAGACUA